rnacentral:lncRNA from 1 species
AAGCUGCUCCAUGACGACUUGUUGGUGUUUCGCGUAUUGUACCAGAAAGUCAUCUCUGAAGUAUGGUUCUGAUAAGAAAAAGGUGGAUGGAUGAGUGUUUUUGUUUUGUUUUUGAAAGCUAUAAAUGAUACAUGAAUGUUUUAUUAUUAUAUUUUUUUUUUGUUAAAGCAAAGAUCUUUUAGUUAAUCGUGUUAUUUUUUUGCGAGAAAUACUUAAUGAUUUAUAUUUACAAUCAAAGAUAAAGGAAAGCACACUAAAGUGGAUCACAAAAGGUAUCUAUUCAUCCUUUGAAGGGAAAUCAUACAUGUUACAAAUACAUAGAAAUUGCAAAGUACAAGUAGAUGAGACAAAUAAGCUAGCUAGAUGUCAACCCUAAAAGUGC